AUGUUUAAAACUGUUCUCUUUCAAAAAGUUGCGGUGGAGCUGCCGUCGCCGCUCUCCCGUCCCGUCCGGUCAGGCCGCCAGGGGCUCCGGCGCGAAGAGGUCGUCGAGGUCCGCCAGCUCCACGAAGUCCGCCGAGGGGUCCCACCUGCUGCUGCACGCUGCGGGGAGGCAGAACUGCAUCAGGUUGUUCAGGGAGGUCUCCUCGUCGACGAAUCCCAGGCCGAACGCUGCCGUCACCUCCUCGUCCGCGUUCACCAAGGACCAGCUGGUGGUCGCCGACUGGGAGGCCGCCGUGGUGGAGGGCGACGGGGGGGAGGCCGCCGUGCUGAUGGGCGACGGGGCAGAGGUCGCCGUGGUGGAGGGCGACGGGGGAGAGGCCGCCCUACCGUAGGGCGACGGAGAAGGGGCCGCCGUGGUGGAGGGCGACGGGGGAGAGGCCGCGGAUGUCGACGGCGACGGCGCGGACGCCGUCACGGUGGAGACGGGCGGCGAGGGGGAAGGCGCGGUGUCCUUAGUGACUGCGCUCGGGCCGCGGAGGCGGAGCACGGCGGAGUCAUAGACGGACUUGGCCUCCUCGGCGGUGUUGAAGGUGCCAAGCCAGACGCGCCGCCCCAGCUUCGGGUCGCGGAUCUCCGCCGCAUACUUGCCCCACGGCCGGCGCCGCACGCCGCGCAAUCGCCGGGCCGCCCUAGCCCCCGCGGACCAAUCAUCCCCGCCGCACGCCACCAACGUACGCGCCUUGCCGGCCGCGGCCGCCCUCAACCUCUUCUCGCGCGUCCAGUGGGAGGAGCUGCUCACCGCACCCGCCGCGGCGGACGGAAGAGAGAACCCGCGCGGCAGGCCGAUCUCCCGCACGCAUCGCCGCGCGCCGCGUCGCUGAGGCCGGUUCGUCUCCUCGUCGGAGUCGUCGGUGGCAUCCGCGUCCAGAAAGUGCACGCGGACGACGCGGCCGGCGGCGCCGCCGCCGUGGCCUCCGGGGAGCCGCCAGCAACCGUCCAUCACCGACGAGAGUGGACCGCGGCAAGCCCCGAUUUCAUCAGCUGGCAACGGACGAGCGGAUUUGGCGGAGCUCCCUUGUUGGUUGGGUGUGGUUUUGGGAGGGUUUUAGAGAGAGAAAGGAUUGGAUGGGGUUCGGCGCUUCUCUCUCUAUCUCCAACUGUAAACAGAGGGAGGGGGUGGAAUGGGUGA
rnacentral:rRNA from 1 species